rnacentral:rRNA from 1 species
AACGAACGCUGGCGGCAUGCCUAACACAUGCAAGUCGAACGAUGCUUUCGGGCAUAGUGGCGCACGGGUGCGUAACGCGUGGGAAUCUGCCCUUGGGUUCGGAAUAACAGUGAGAAAUUGCUGCUAAUACCGGAUGAUGUCUUCGGACCAAAGAUUUAUCGCCCAGGGAUGAGCCCGCGUAGGAUUAGCUAGUUGGUGGGGUAAUGGCCUACCAAGGCGACGAUCCUUAGCUGGUCUGAGAGGAUGAUCAGCCACACUGGGACUGAGACACGGCCCAGACUCCUACGGAAGGCAGCAGAGGAGGAUAUUGGACAAUGGGCGCAGGCCUGAACCAGCAAUGCCGGGUGAGUGAUGAAGGCCUUAGGGUUGUAAAGCGCUUUUAACCGGGAUGAUAAUGACGGUACCGGGAGAAUAAGCACCGGCUAACUACGUG